AUUCAAAUAGCUUAUGUAUUAGAGCAUAGCCUUGAAGAUGCUAAGGAGAUUAUUUAAUCUUUGAAUA
rnacentral:tRNA from 1 species